rnacentral:rRNA from 1 species
AACGAACGCUGGCGGCGUGCCUAACACAUGCAAGUCGAACGAGAAAGGGGCUUCGGCUCCGAGUAAAGUGGCGCACGGGUGAGUAACACGUGGGUAACCUGCCUCUAAGAUUGGGAUAACUCGUCGAAAGAUGAGCUAAUACCGAAUAAGACCACAGUUCCCGCGGGAACAGGGGUCAAAGGUAGCCUCUGCUUGCAAGCUAUCACUUAGAGAUGGGCCUGCGCACCAUUAGCUAGUUGGUAGGGUAACGGCCUACCAAGGCAAAGAUGGUUAGCUGGUCUGAGAGGAUGAUCAGCCACACUGGAACUGAGACACGGUCCAGACUCCUACGGGAGGCAGCAGUGGGGAAUAUUGCGCAAUGGGCGAAAGCUUGACGCAGCAACGCCGCGUGAGUGAUGAAGGCCUUCGGGUCGUAAAGCCCUGUCGGGAGGAACGAAUGCUCCUGAGGUUAACAGCCUCGGGAGGUGACGGUACCUGCAAAGGAAGCACCGGCUAACUCUGUG